rnacentral:rRNA from 1 species
AGUGAACGCUGGCGGUAGGCCUAACACAUGCAAGUCGAACGGCAGCACAGUAAGAGCUUGCUCUUACGGGUGGCGAGUGGCGGACGGGUGAGGAAUACAUCGGAAUCUACUUUUUCGUGGGGGAUAACGUAGGGAAACUUACGCUAAUACCGCAUACGACCUACGGGUGAAAGCAGGGGAUCUUCGGACCUUGCGCGAUUGAAUGAGCCGAUGUCGGAUUAGCUAGUUGGCGGGGUAAAGGCCCACCAAGGCGACGAUCCGUAGCUGGUCUGAGAGGAUGAUCAGCCACACUGGAACUGAGACACGGUCCAGACUCCUACGGGAGGCAGCAGUGGGGAAUAUUGGACAAUGGGCGCAAGCCUGAUCCAGCCAUACCGCGUGGGUGAAGAAGGCCUUCGGGUUGUAAAGCCCUUUUGUUGGGAAAGAAGAGCAGCAGGUUAAUACCCCGCUGUUCUGACGGGACCCAAAGAAUAAGCACCGGCUAACUUCGU